rnacentral:lncRNA from 1 species
AACAAGUGUAUCUUGCUUUGUUAUCAAUUAUUAAAAAAUAUCUAAAACUCUUCUUUAAUAUAACUGAUGAUAGACUCCACAAAUCAAGAUGAAUCAAUUCGAAACAUGUACCAGUCUUUAUUAAACUUUUCACAAAAGUGAGUUUGUGUAUUUUUCCAAUUGGACAAUUAUUACAAAAUUCUUUACUAAUUAAGGAGCUACUCUCUUGAAUGUUUAUUAAUAAGGAUAACCAAGCCUUCUGAGACACAAGUCUUCAAAUACAUCCAACCUGUAGCACUGAUGAUGACGUAGGUCUAGUGUGAAAUGAUAUAAGUUUUUUAUGCUAAUCUCAGUAAACAAAAUUUCUUUAGUCUCCACAUCCUUUACCAAAAAAUCAUUUUUGUUAAAGAUAAUAGAAACAUUCAAGCUGAUUUUUAGUAGAAAUUAGUAUUUUAUUUAACUUAAAUACACACAAUAUCACUUGAGUUAUUUUAAUUUUUCUACUAUUAACAUAAAAGAUAAUUGACCAUAUUCUAAAGAUUGGUAUUGUAUUUCCAUUGCCUACUCUAACAAUAGAGUUACCUAAAUAGGAUUAACUUUCUGAGAAGAGUUCUGAGGUCAUAUGGGUGGAUGUGCCAGUCCAAACAUAAGUCCAUAUUGUAGAGUUAACUUAAAUAAGUAAAUCAACAUUGUUGACUAUAAAUUCUACCCCAGCUUGAUCAAUUCCAUCAUCUGAAGAACCAUCUUAGGUAUCUACGAAAUAUGCUGAAAAAUUCUCUUUCCGAACAGCUUUGGCUAAUUGGCCAUGUUUGUCACAAAUAUGAUAAUCAUGGAUAGUAUUCAAUGAUUCAGGAAGUUUCAACAAGGGUGGUUUUUUGUUUCUUGCCAAGGUUUUAGGUAUGAUUACUGAUUUUACUUAUUCUAUCCAGAUUUACCUUUGUAACCAUAUUGUUUGCCUUUAUAUCCUUUGUUAUAUCUAUAAGCAUAAUUGACAGAAAGUUAACCUAAUCACACACUAUAAGAAAAUAAACUUUCGACUACAAUCAAGUUUUUUAACUACGGAAUCGAAUUUUCAUGACUAAAACAAUAACCACUGUUUUUUAAUUUAACCAUGGAUUGAAUCAAUAAAAAAUUUGACUUUUUAAAAUUUAAAUCACAGAAAAUUUUAUUUAAACCAUGGUUAUUUAAUUUACUUACCUUGACUAAUUUUUUGAAACAAUAUAAAAUAUCAAGGUUAUGAAAAAAUCAGUUAUUUUAUUUGUUAGUCAGUCAAACAAUUGAUCAAAAAUUUAUAAAUCUUCAGAGUUUAAAGUGAAUAAAAAAACCUUUAACUACUACUACUCAAUCCAUCUAAGAUAUAUUCAAUCACAUGAUCAUCAUGUGUACAUCAUUAGUAGCAAAUAAUAAAUUUUUUAAUGAUUUAAAAUUUUAAUAAGUUCAAAAUUAUUUCAUUAAUCUUUGUAUUCUCAUGUUGAAAUCAACUAAUAGUCUUUUCAACCUAAAACUAUAUGAAUCAUAACUUUUAUACUAACAUGAAUUUUAAAACUCACCUAAUAUGAACUCAAUGUGUUCAAGUCUAUAUGGAAAUACAUGCAACCAAAACAUUGAAGAAAAAAAUAAUUACAAGACAAUUCAGAUGACUUUGCAUAAUAUCUAAUAACUCAAAUAAAGUGAGGGUUGGGUUUUUGAAUCUACUUUAUACUAAGUUCACUGGAAAAAAACUGAUUUGAAAUAACCAGUAUUUAUUAUUCUCACAGAAUUCACUAUAAUCUUCAAUGAGAAAUAUGACGUUCUUUUUACAUGAAAAUUACAUUUUUAUAAAUUUACAAGUUUAAUAUUUACCUAUUUCUUAACGUCUUUCAUUUAGGAAAGGUCGAAUUAGCUAAGUGGAUCAUUUAAGAAAAUUAGAAUUAAUUAAAAAUGACAAUUUAUAAAACGAAAACUUAAAAACUGACAAAGAAACUGAAUUUCAAUAAAAAAAGUAAGAACUAAAAAGUAGAAAAAACUGAAAUACAACAAAAAAUUGAUAAAAGAUGUAAACUAACGAAUAGGAUUAAAAACUAGUACUUUAAUAGACACUCUCAUAACAAAUUCUUAUUUACAAAUUGAAUAGGAUGUAAGAGAUCGAUAGAGUUUCCAAUGAAAGAAACAUCGAAAGUUUCAAACUGAGAAACAAAAAACACUCAGUAAAAGCUUCGAAUCUAACGUAUAUUUAAUUUCUGAGAGCAAACUUGGACGAAAUCGCAUUGAUUAAAUGGCAAUUUGUUCCAUAGGACUCUCAACAAAAACAAAAGAUGAAAAUAAAAUGAAUAUAGGAAUAUGCUCAGGGAAUACGAACCAAUUCAUGGAUAUUUCACAUCAUCAGAAUGAUAAAAACCGACGAUCCAAAGAUUAUAUAUCGUCACGGCAUAUGUAAGAAAAUAAAGAAUAAAAGGGAAAAAUUUCACAAACCGUAAAACCCUAACGAAGACGACGCCGGUGUAGAUCUCUUACGACGAUUGUCUUUGGGGUAUUUAUAGUCGAGGGUUUUUUAAUGGACCAGAUCUAGGUCUAAUACUGUAAGGCUUUUGGGCUGGAUCUAAUAAAAGUCAGAUUUCGGCCUUGA